UGGGCAACCUGCCCUCAGCACGGGGAUAACCCCGGGAAACCGGAGCUAAUACCCGAUACGACCUCUACGGGCAUCCGUGGAGGUGGAAAGGUUUUUCCGGCUGAGGAUGGGCCCGCGGCCUAUCAGCUAGUUGGUGGGGUGACGGCCUACCAAGGCGACGACGGGUAGCCGGCCUGAGAGGGCGACCGGCCACACUGGGACUGAGACACGGCCCAGACUCCUACGGGAGGCA
rnacentral:rRNA from 1 species